GGCUGGUUAGCUCAAUCAGUUGAGCAUGGCGCUGACAACACAAAGGUCGCGGGUUCGAUUCCUGUUCAGUCU
rnacentral:tRNA from 1 species